rnacentral:rRNA from 1 species
CAGUAGCCGCGGUAAUACGGAGUAUCCAAGCGUUAUCCGGAAUCAUUGGGUUUAAAGGGUCCGUAGGCGGUCUUGUAAGUCAGUGGUGAAAGCCCAUCGCUCAACGGUGGAACGGCCAUUGAUACUGCAGGACUUGAAUUAUUGGGAAGUAACUAGAAUAUGUAGUGUAGCGGUGAAAUGCUUAGAGAUUACAUGGAAUACCAAUUGCGAAGGCAGGUUACUACCAAUUGAUUGACGCUGAUGGACGAAAGCGUGGGUAGCGAACAGGAUUAGAUACCCCCGUAGUCCCUGUCUCUUAUAC